AAUGAACGUUGGCGGCGUGGAUUAGGCAUGCAAGUCGAGCGAGAACCCCGCAAGGGGGGACAGCGGCGAAAGGGACAGUAAUGUGUAGAUUAUCUGCCCUCAGGUCCGGGAUAGCUGCGGGAAACUGCAGGUAAUACCGGAUAACAUCUCCGGAUCAAAGGUGUGAUUCCGCCUGAGGAUGAGUCUGCAUCCUAUUAGCUAGUUGGUGGGGUAAUGGCCUACCAAGGCAUUGAUGGGUAGCAGGUGUGAGAGCACGACCUGCGUCAUUGGGACUGAGACACUGCCCAGACACCUACGGGUGGCUGCAGUCGAGAAUCGUCGGCAAUGGGCGCAAGCCUGACCGAGCGACGCCGCGUGUGGGAUGAAGGCCUUCGGGUUGUAAACCACUGUCAGAGGGGAUGAAAUGCAGGUGGGUUCUCCCAUCUGUUUGACAUAGCCUCAGAGGAAGGACGGGCUAAGUUAGUG
rnacentral:rRNA from 1 species